AUGCUGAAAUGCAUGGUGGGAAAUCAAUGCGAAAUUCAUUGGCUGUACCUGCAACCGUAAAGUCGGAGCGCCACCCAGCAAAGUCCCCUGUUGAACUAAGACCAGGAAAAGUUAGGUUCUACAAUGCAAAG
rnacentral:ncRNA from 10 species